AACAAUAGGAGUUAUCCCCCUUUUACAACAGUCCAGCACCAUGUGAUUUACGAUGAUUUGUCUUGCAGUAGAACAAUCAAUGUCCUUGUUUUAUGUUUUAUCUGACGUUCAUUUGGUGCAAUAUCAGUUUAGUUUGUGCAGGAUGAAUGUGUGUAAUAAAUUGAGUGGAAGAGUCCAAUUGCUAGGUGGCAAUUAAUAUUGACCUGUAAGUGUAUUUAAGUAUUUGUAUGUUGUUAGCUUUUUGUCAUACACAUACCUGUAUGUUUGCUGUUUUUAAAUAUUAUUCAAAUACCAUUGCAUGGUCACAAGUAUAUUAGUAAGUAAAGUGGUUACUUAAUAAGUUAAUAUAUCAUAUCAUAUGGAUGGGGUACCAAUUUUUCUUGAUGAAUUUUUCCACGAAGAUUCCCUUUCUAGUCUUUUUUUUUUUAAAUAUAAAGAAUUCUUUGUAAUGUUAUUUGUGAAUUUUUUUUAGAUUAAUCAGUUCUAGAUGAAUCUACAUGUACAUGUUAAGGGACAUUAAAGACAUUACAAUGUAUUUGUUUUAAACCAAGUUUAAGGUUAAGUUUACAUUUUCAACCAAAACUGUAUUUCAUGGUCCCAUAUGUGUAUUUAUUUAGAUAUACAAUAUUGCCUAAUGAUUUGCUGGUCAGUUUUCACUUCAAAUAACUUUAUGAACUUCAUAUAUUUGCUUUGCAUUUUGACCUGUACCUGAUUUUAAAGAAACGUGUACAUUUACAUGUUUAGCAUAACUUGUUUGAAAGGAAAAGAAGAGAAAGGGCAGAAGUUGCCAUCUCGGAGUGCAAUAUAUGUAUUGAUUUAUGUUAGCAUAAUUUCACUUACAACUUAUUUUUCCUCUGAUCACAGUUGCGAUUAUGGGUUUCAAAAACCCUUGAAUGGUGUAUGUAUAGGGAAAUUAGAAGAGGCUACAAUGUCGGUACUCUAAUGAUAGAUAAAUAAUUACCAGGGUAUAUAGAAAAGCUGGAUAGAACGGAAACCCUCCUACCCCAGUAAUUUGAUGGGGUCCUGAAUCUUCUGGCCUAAAAUACUAGUACAUUGUGCUUUUCUUCAUUUUAUAGCCAUCAUGUUUAAUAUUCUGUGAAGGUUUUUCACACAUUCUUUCUAUAUAUUGGGUACAUAUGCAUAUUAUAAAAGGUGAAUAUGUAGCAUGACAAGUCUUUCAGCUUGAUGACCUGUCACAUGAUCUAUAUGUAUAUUUUGCAGCAGCUUAUUAAGUCCAUGUAGUCUAUUUUUGUGACUCAUUUCUUUUUAUAGUAGGUUUACUUUAAAUUUUGUUAAUGAUAAUAAAUUCUACAC
rnacentral:misc_RNA from 1 species